rnacentral:tRNA from 1 species
GGCGCGUUCGUCUAGUGGUUUAGGACACUACUUCCUCAGAGUUGAAACGUUGGUUCAAAUCCAACAUGCGCCA